UUCCAGACUCCUACGGGAGGCAGCAGUGGGGAAUAUUGCACAAUGGGGGAAACCCUGAUGCAGCGACGCCGCGUGAGUGAAGAAGUAUCUCGGUACGUAAAGCUCUAUCAGCAGGGAAGAAAAUGACGGUACCUGAUUAAGAAGCCCCGGCUAACUACGUGCCAGCAGCCGCGGUAAUACGUAGGGGGCAAGCGUUAUCCGGAUUUACUGGGUGUAAAGGGGGCGCAGACGGCAGCGCAAGCCAGGAGUGAAAGCCCGGGGCCCAACCCCGGGACUGCUCUUGGAACUGCGUCGCUGGAGUACGGGAGGGGCAGGCGGAAUUCCUGGUGUAGCGGUGAAAUGCGUAGAUAUCAGGAGGAACACCGGCGGCGAAGGCGGCCUGCUGGACCGUGACUGACGUUGAGGCUCGAGAGCGUGGGGAGCAAACAGGAUUAGAUACCCCUGUAGUA
rnacentral:rRNA from 1 species